CUGAAGUCCAAAGCAGCUGAUUGGUCGGCCCCAUCUACGAUUGGAGCUCUGACCCCGCCCUCUCGUCAGGGGAUACAGCUGUCUGCAAUUACCGACUCCUGCAGCUUUAAAAGCCAUUGUUCCUUUGUUAGGAGAGAGAGCUUCUUGGGGGGAAGGGGAAGGCACCUUGGGAGUGCUUAGGCAAGAGGCCUGUGGGCAGACAUAUACAUGUAGUAUGUACACUGUCUGCUCACUAGGUAAGACCUGGGCGGACCAUCCCCUGUGUUUUGGUUAGCGGGCCAGGUGGCGCAAAGAAUAGGUAACCAUGGUCGACAGAGGAAGAACAAUGAUUCCAAGCACAACCC